rnacentral:rRNA from 1 species
AUUGAACGCUGGCGGCAGGCCUAACACAUGCAAGUCGAACGGUAACAGGAAGCAGCUUGCUGCUUCGCUGACGAGUGGCGGACGGGUGAGUAAUGUCUGGGAAGCUGCCUGAUGGAGGGGGAUAACUACUGGAAACGGUAGCUAAUACCGCAUAAUGUCGCAAGACCAAAGAGGGGGACCUUCGGGCCUCUUGCCAUCGGAUGUGCCCAGAUGGGAUUAGCUUGUGGGUGGGGUAACGGCUCACCAAGGCGACGAUCCCUAGCUGGUCUGAGAGGAUGACCAGCCACACUGGGACUGAGACACGGUCCAGACUCCUACGGGAGGCAGCAGUGGGGAAUAUUGCACAAUGGGCGCAAGCCUGAUGCAGCCAUGCCGCGUGUAUGAAGAAGGCCUUCGGGUUGUAAAGUACUUUCAGCGGGGAGGAAGGGAGUAAAGUUAAUACCUUUGCUCAUUGACGUUACCCGCAGAAGAAGCACCGGCUAACUCCGUG